AUUGAACGCUGGCGGCAGGCCUAACACAUGCAAGUCGAGCGGAUGAAGGGAGCUUGCUCCUGGAUUCAGCGGCGGACGGGUGAGUAAUGCCUAGGAAUCUGCCUUGUCGCGGGGGAUAACGUCCGGAUACGGGCGCUAAUACCGCAUACGUCCUGUGGGAGAAAGUGGGGGAUCCUCGGACCUCACGCUAUCAGAUGAGCCUAGGUGGGAUUAGCUAGUUGGGGGGGUAAAGGCCUACCAAGGCGACGAUCCGUAACUGGUCUGAGAGGAUGAUCAGGCACACUGGAAGUGAGACAGGGCACAGACUCCGGCGGGAGGAAGCAGUGGGGAAUAUUGCACGAUGGGCGAGUGCCGGAUCCAGCCAUGCCGCGUGUGUGAAGAAGGUCUUCGGAUUGUAGAGCAAUGUAGGUUGGGAGGAAGGAAAAUAAUUUAAUACCUUGCUGUAUUGACGGUACCCGCAGAAUAAGCACCGGCUAACUUCGUG
rnacentral:rRNA from 1 species